rnacentral:rRNA from 1 species
CUACGGGUCGCUGCAGUGAGGAAUAUUGCACAAUGGGGGGAACCCUGAUGCAGCAACGCCGCGUGGAGGAUGACGCAUUUCGGUGUGUAAACUCCUUUUAUAUGUCAAGAAAAUGACGGUAGCAUAUGAAUAAGCACCGGCUAACUCCGUGCCAGCAGCCGCGGUAAUACGGAGGGUGCAAGCGUUACUCGGAAUCACUGGGCGUAAAGGACGUGUAGGCGGGUUGGAAAGUCAGGUGUGAAAUCCUACAGCUUAACUGUAGAACUGCACUUGAAACUUCUAAUAUAGAGUAUGGGAGGGGGAGAUGGAAUUAGGGGUGGAGGGGUAAAAUCCGUAGAUAUCACUAGGAAUACCUAAAGCGAAGGCGAUCUCCUGGAACAUUACUGACGCUAAGGCGUGAAAGCGUGGGGAACAAACAGGAUUAAUACCCUAGUAGUC